rnacentral:rRNA from 1 species
GAUGAACGCUAGCGGCAGGCUUAACGCAUGCAAGUCGAGGGGCAGCGGGGAGUAGCAAUACUUCGCCGGCGACCGGCGCACGGGUGCGUAACGCGUAUGCAACCUACCAUAUACAGGGGGAUAAUCACUCGAAAGGGUGUCUAAUACCCCAUAGUAUUAUUUUUCUGCAUGGAAGAAUAAUUAAAGAUUUAUUGGUAUAUGAUGGGCAUGCGUGACAUUAGCUAGUUGGAGAGGUAACGGCUCACCAAGGCAACGAUGUCUAGGGGUUCUGAGAGGAAGAUCCCCCACACUGGUACUGAGACACGGACCAGACUCCUACGGGAGGCAGCAGUGAGGAAUAUUGGUCAAUGGGCGAGAGCCUGAACCAGCCAUGCCGCGUGAAGGAAGACGGCCCUACGGGUUGUAAACUUCUUUUAUAUGGGGAUAAACCUAUUCUUGCGAGAGUAGCUGAAGGUACCAUAUGAAUAAGCAUCGGCUAACUCCGUGCCAGCCGCCGCAGUAAAAC